CGCAUCUGUGCAUGCAGCAUAUCAAUAAGCGGAGGAAAAGAAACUAACAAGGAUUCCCUUAGUAACGGCGAGUGAAGCGGGAAGAGCUCAAAUUUGAAAUCUUCAAGGUUUUACCUUGACGAAUUGUAGUUUAAAGAAGUGUUUUCUGUUGAAGUUUUGGUAAAAGUUCUUUGGAAUAGGACAUCAUAGAGGGUGAGAAUCCCGUAUUUGACCAUUAUUUUCAGCUGUGUGAUACGCUUUCAAAGAGUCGGAUUGUUUGGGAAUGCAGUCCAAAAUGGGUGGUAAAUUUCAUCUAAAGCUAAAUAUUGGCGAGAGACCGAUAGCGAACAAGUACCGUGAGGGAAAGAUGAAAAGAACUUUGAAAAGAGAGUUAAACAGUACGUGAAAUUGUCAAAAGGGAAGCGUUUGACACCAGUGUUGUUUUCUCGAAAAUCAAUUAAAAAGAGUUUGAUUUUGUUGUGUAUUGACCUUAACAGCUUGCAUUUCAAUUUUCUUGCUUUUUUUAAUGCACUUUUCGUUUAACAAGUCAACAUCAGUUUCUUUUGUUGUAAAAAGGUCAUUGGAAGGUGGCUUUCUUUUCGGAGAAAGUGUUUAUAGCCUUUGACUCCUGCAAUCGGAGAGACUGAGGUCUGCAGCGUAGAUCCUUCGGGGUUAGAUACAUUUGUGCUAAGUUAUAGCUUUUUAUAGACAACUUGUUGACUAUGAUUAGUCUUGUAGCUUACUCGCUUAUGCUAUUUUACCUACGCUUAGGAUGUUGAACUCUAUCACACACA
rnacentral:rRNA from 1 species